UUACAAGAUAAUUUAAAAGCAAGGAUGAAUUUUGAGAUUUUGCUGAAAAAUCUCAAAAUUCAUCCUUGCUUUUAAAUUAUCUUGUAA
rnacentral:miRNA from 1 species